rnacentral:rRNA from 1 species
GACGAACGCUGGCGGCGUGCUUGACACAUGCAAGUCGAACGGAAAGGCCUGCUUUCCCUUGUGGAUUGCGGGUACUCGAGUGGCGAACGGGUGAGUAACACGUGAGUGAUCUGCCCCCAACUUGGGUAUAAGCCUGGGAAACUGGGUCUAAUUCCCGAUAGGACUGCAGGGUGGUGCCUGUGGUGGAAAACGAUUUUCUAGUGGUUGGGGAUGAGCUCGCGGCCUAUCAGCUUGUUGGUGGGGUAAUGGCCUACCAAGGCGGCGACGGGUAGCCGGCCUGGGAAGGUGGACAGCCACAGUGGGACUGGGAUACGGCCCAGACUCCGACGGGAGGCAGCAGUGGGGAAUGUUGCACAAUGGGCGGAAGCCUGAUGCAGCGACGCCGCGUGGGGGAUGACGGCCUUCGGGUUGUAAACUCCUUUCGACCGCGAGGAAGCCACCUGGUUGGAAGGGUGGUGACGGUAGUGGUAGAAGAAGCACCGGCUAACUACGUG